rnacentral:rRNA from 1 species
UGUAAGUUAAGUGGAAAAGGAUGUGGAGCUGCAUAGACAACUAGGAUGUUGGCUUAGAAGCAGCCACUCAUUCAAAGAGUGCGUAAUAGCUCACUAGUCGAGUGGCUCUGCGCCGAAGAUAAACGGGGCUCAAAUCUGUAACCGAAGCUUAGGAUAUCUAUUGAUAUGGUAGAGGAGCAUCGUAUGCCGGGCUGAAGCUGUUCUGUAAGGAAUGGUGGACUGCAUACGAGAGAGAAUGUUGGCAUGAGUAGCGUAAGGCAGGUGAGAAUCCUGUCCGCCGAAAAUCUAAGGUUUCCUGAGGAAGGUUCGUCCUCUCAGGGUG